rnacentral:rRNA from 1 species
AUUGAACGCUGGCGGCAUGCUUUACACAUGCAAGUCGAACGGUAACAGGUUAAGCUGACGAGUGGCGAACGGGUGAGUAAUGCAUCGGAACGUGCCCGAUCGUGGGGGAUAACGCAGCGAAAGCUGCGCUAAUACCGCAUACGAUCUGAGGAUGAAAGCGGGGGACCGUAAGGCCUCGCGCGAUCGGAGCGGCCGAUGUCAGAUUAGGUAGUUGGUGGGGUAAAGGCUCACCAAGCCAACGAUCUGUAGCUGGUCUGAGAGGACGACCAGCCACACUGGGACUGAGACACGGCCCAGACUCCUACGGGAGGCAGCAGUGGGGAAUUUUGGACAAUGGGCGAAAGCCUGAUCCAGCCAUGCCGCGUGCAGGAUGAAGGCCUUCGGGUUGUAAACUGCUUUUGUACGGAACGAAGAGGUUUGGCCUAAUAAGCUGAGCUCAUGACGGUACCGUAAGAAUAAGCACCGGCUAACUACGUGCCAGCAGCCGCGGUAA